UACGUAGGGGGCAAGCGUUAUCCGGAUUUACUGGGUGUAAAGGGAGCGUAGACGGCAGUGCAAGUCCGGAGUGAAAGCCCGGGGCUCAGCCCUGGGACUGCUCUGGAAACUGUAAAGCUGGAGUGCGGGAGGGGCAGGCGGAAUUCCUGGUGUAGCGGUGAAAUGCGUAGAUAUCAGGAGGAACACCGGCGGCGAAGGCGGCCUGCUGGACCGUAACUGACGUUGAGGCUCGAAAGCGUGGGGAGCAAACAGG
rnacentral:rRNA from 1 species